rnacentral:rRNA from 1 species
GAUGUUGGGUUAAGUCCCGCAACGAGCGCAACCCCUGUCGCCAGUUACCAUCAUUAAGUUGGGGACUCUGGCGAGACUGCCUCUGCAAGGAGGAGGAAGGCGGGGAUGACGUCAAAUCAUCAUGCCCCUUAUGACCUGGGCCACACACGUGCUACAAUGGACGGGACAGAGGGAAGCGAAGGCGCGAGCCGGAGCGGACCCCAGAAACCCGUUCCCAGUUCGGACUGCAGUCUGCAACUCGACUGCACGAAGCCGGAAUCGCUAGUAAUCGCGGAUCAGAAUGCCGCGGUGAAUACGUUCUCGGGCCUUGUACACACCGCCCGUCACACCAUGAGAGUUGGCAACACCCGAAGCCGGCGGCCCAACCCGCAAGGGAGGGAGCUGUCUAAGGUGGGGCUGAUGAUUGGGGUGAAGUCGUAACAAGGUAUCCCUACG